UUUUUUUUUUUUUUUCUCCUAGGGUACUUGACCCUCGUUUUUCGCCGCAAUAGGCGAUUUGCCCUUGCCCCUCCAGGCCCGGGGGGGCCAUUCCUCCUUCUACCCCGUUCAUGGGUUCCCUCUCCACUCCAAGUAGUCUAUAAAUAGUGUUUUGGUUAGAGCAUAGCCGGUGAAAAAUGGAAGAGGGUUUCGCUGGAGCUCCAGUGUUACUGAUUUUCUUUGGUUCUUUGGUUUUGUGGCUUUGCAUGUAUGGUUGGUGGAUCUGUCUCAUGGGUGCGAACUUUUUUGCUACAUGUUAGGAGAAGAAGGUAACUCAGGGUCCCUAUUGACACCUUGUGUGUUUGCUAACCCACAUCUAAGAGCUCUGCUCUCUUCUCUUCUUGUAUCAUCGAAAACAAAUCCAAAAUACUACUGGAGCUUGGGAGUAUUUUUUAGUCAAGUUUCUUUCCUGGCCUUCCAAGAAAGGGAUCCUUUGUUUCCUUUGGUUGCAGUAGUUUGAUGGUGGUGGUUUCCAUGGUUGUGCUUUGUUUUGGUUGGGUUCUGGCUCUUUCUUGAAGCUCUGGGGUUCUAGUUCUGGGGGACCUCCUCUUAGGCUUUGUCAAUCAUAAAUGGUCCUCUAGCAAUGCUUCAAUCGGCAUUUUUUCCCAUUGGCAUUAGCCUAAUAGUUGCUCUGUUUCUCGCCUAAGUUUCCUUUAGUGUGUUCCUUGGUGGCGAGGCUUCUACUGGGUCAGAGGUUUCAAGUUUAGAUUUGGGUCAGGGGUAGGGUUUUCCUUGUAAUGGGUUUGGGCUAAUUUUUUGGGCAAA
rnacentral:misc_RNA from 1 species